AGUGAACAUAACAUCUGAUAACAGUGACUCAGCUGAAGAACUUUGCACCUCUGUGAAGUAUCACCAACACUGUGACAAAUGCAAUCCUGAUGGCUGUGGCCUAAAGGGCAGAGUUGCCCUUACUCUGGAGGAGGAGGAGGAAGACAUCGACAUCUGGUGGCAGGACAGGAACAAAGGGUGGGCUCCAAGACAUGCAGCUUGCUGCUGAUGGUACAGAGCUUCAGGAGCUGUGGCCUUGCUCCCCAGCAGUGUGGGCAACACCAUCCCCUCUCCUGACAACUAUAACAUGACCGAGGUGUUACUAUAAAAUGACAGAAAGAGCUGCAGGACCCAGCACCAGAAACAAAAG
rnacentral:lncRNA from 1 species